UUCCUUUUGUAAUGAGACUUUCGUCAGGUUGCUUUUAGGAUCUUUCAUUAGUGUUCUACAGUUUCACUAUGAUGUGUCUAAGUGUGUAUUUUAUUUAUACUGGUUGAGAUUCAUUGGCCUUCUGAUUCUGAAAUGGCUUUUGUCUUGCAUUAGUUCUAGAAAAUUAUCUUUUUGGAUAAUUCUUCCUGGUUCAUUGGUUGUUGUUGGUUGGGUUUUUUUUUUUUUUUUUUUUUUUUUUUUUUAGUUUCCCAAGAAAACCUCCCUCCCUUUCAUAGUUUUGAUCUCUGCCACCUGUGCUGCAUUGCAUUUUGCCUAAUUUCCUCAGAUCUUUCUUCCAGUUUGUUAAUGAUCUGGUCAACUGUGUCUAAUUUGCUCUUAAACCUCCAUUGAGUUUCUUCUUUCAAUUAUUUUUCUUUUCAUCUUUGAUGAUUUAUUUUUCUUUUACCAUUUUUCAAUGCCAACUUGUAUUCUUUAAACUUAUUUUAUAUUCUAUUUUGAAUCCAUCUACUUCUGUGCCACCACCAUUCUUGCCCAGCUGGUAGAUGUGUGGACAAAGGAAGAGGUACAGGUAUCUUUCGAGUAUCCUAAAGAGGUCAUGUGGGAAGUAAAUGUGCUUCCAGUACCACUGCUAACACAGGAGCAAUCCCAAAUCGGAUUCACCUCUGCAGUAAAAAGGCUUUAAUCAGGUGUGUGUCUAGAAGAAAGCAUCGGCAUAGCAAUAUCACCAGCUAGACUCUCCACAGCUCUCUAAAGUGAACAUGGCAAGACUAAAACAUUCUGCUGAGUCCUGAAAGGCUUCCUUUGGUAUAUAUAUUUAAGAAGGUAUUGGUUAAAGCCAUUCCCUAUUGCUAAACUUUAUGUUAUCAAAUUGAGGAAAAUAUGGACCUUUCUAAAGUUACCAAAUUAAAAAAAUCACCUUGAUGGAAAACAAGGAAGGUUUUUUUUUUUUUUUUCUCUUUCAUGUUGCAUUUUUAAGUAAAAUGAAACAGAAAUCAGAUUUAAAUAAAAGGAAUGAUUGAGAAUGUUGGCUAGUCUUUGAAAUGUUGUUAUUGACCUUAGUGUUCAAUUCCUUUAUCAUGUGAAAUUGAUUUAGUGUAAUCGAAAUGUUCCAAUUUUCUUUACUUAGAGUGUCUUGGAUAUUGCCUUCAGAAAUGCAAAAAUCAAAGAAUUACUGUCCUGUUUAUUCCACCUCCCAUCCCCACUCAAAUCCAUACUUCUUAUCACUACUGAUUCUGUAACUUAGACCCCAAACCUUCAUAUUUUCUUCCCUGUCCUUUUGCUCCCCUAAUCGAAACAAUUUCCCUCUUAAUAAUAACUUAGUGGUUAAGCACUAGGUUUGAGUCCUUUGCCAGUUAAUAAAUUUUUAUGGCCUUGGGCAAGUUACUUAACCUCUCUAAAGACUUUUUCUAGUACUUAUUUUGUAGGUUUAUGGGAUUAAAUGAAACAAAUUCAUGUAAACAACACAGUGCCUGCACUCAAUACGUGUUAGCUACCACUCACUCUUCCCCUCUUUUUAAAAAAUUAGUUAAUUAAUUAUUUGUUAUUUUGAGACAGCAUGCAAGAAUGCACAGGAGGGGCAGAGAGAGGGAAAGAGAGAAUCCCAAGCAGGUUCUGCACUGUGAUCAUGACCUGAGUCAAAAUAAAAAGUUGGAGGUUUAACCAACUGAGCCACCCAGCCACCCCCUACUCUUCCCCUCUUGUCCCUUCCUUUCCUUACCCUCCCUUGCCUCCUCUCCCCAUCCUCCUUUCUUCUGCUUCCCUACAUCCCUCUGCCUUUCUUCCUCCUCUUUGAGUGAAUGCUUAGCACAGGGUAAGCACUCAACAAAAUGAUAGUCUUCAUUGUUGUCUCCAUGAAUCAAGCCUUCAUCAUUUCUCCCCUGGAAAACUGAAUUUAGUUCAUUGGUCCUCAUUCCCUAUUUAUAUAUCCUUCACAGAAAAGUUGUAUAUCUUUAAUUUGAAUUUGUGAAAGUAUAGUUUUUAAAUCAAAUCAUGUAUUUAGGAUUAGAAAGUGAAAUAUUGUAAAAACCACUGUUAGUAACUAUUAUGCUUUUGCUUUCUGAUUGUAUUUGUCUUCAUAUAGAUGCUUCCUAUAGUCACUGUCUUCAUAUAGACUUGUUUUGAAGAUUUUAAAAUUACUUUGAGAAUAUAUAUAGACUGUUUUGCUUAAGAAGACUACUAUGUACCAGGCAAUAUGACUUAAAUGCUUUGCAUACAUUAUCCUAUUUAAUUCUCAGUAACCUAUGAGAUGUUUAAUAUUAUUACCACCUAUUUUACAAAGAAGAAAUCAAACCAAGAGUUAUGCUCAAGGUCAUACAGCUAUAAACAGUAGAGAAGACUUUGAACCUAGAUGGUCUGAUUCCAAAGACUAUGCUCCUAAACACUAGUUUAUACUGCCC